rnacentral:misc_RNA from 1 species
GAUGAAGAACGUAGCGAAAUGCGAUAAGUAAUGUGAAUUGCAGAAUUCAGUGAAUCAUCGAAUCUUUGAACGCACAUUGCGCCCGCUAGUAUUCUGGCGGGCAUGCCUGUUCGAGCGUCAUUUCAACCAUCAAGCCCUUUAGCUUGUGUUGGGGACCUGCGGCUGCCGCAGCCCCCGAAAUGCAGUGGCGGGCUCGUUGUCACACCGAGUGCAGUAAUCAUUCUUCUCUCCGGGCGUGGCGGCGGGUUCCGGCCGUAAAAUCACCAAUUUAUCAAGGUUGACCUCGGAUCAGGUAGGAAUACCCGCUGAACUUAAGCAUAUCAAAAGCGGAGGA